GUGGGGUUGUGGCUCAGUGGUAGAGCACUCAUGUAGCAUGUGGGAGGCCCUGGGUUCAAUCCUCAGCACCACA
rnacentral:tRNA from 1 species